AUUACUUUUGUUUCUGUUUAUGCAGCCCUAGCCACUCCUCCCCUGGCUGUGACUGACACAGCCUGCAUUAAAAAAAUAUUUCCAUCGUUUCCAAUCAGAUGUAACUUACUUAAAACACAUUUAUCUCCUGUUCUUUAAAUUGAACCUUAAUUACAUAUAUAAGGCUCCUGCAGGGUCUAGCAAGUUAUUAAAGGAGCAGAAGAUAAGAAAUUAUAAAUUGAACAGAAUUUGCAAUACAUGAAGUGUAAACAUUAGAUGACUCUUUACAGGACGUGUUUAGAAAGGUUGUGCAAGUCACAUGCAGGGAGGUAUGAUUAGGGCUGCAUAAACAAAGUGAUUUAACUCCUAAAUGGCAAUGAAUUGAGCAGUGAGACUACAGAGGCAUGAUAUAUACACCAAAACUGCUUCAUUAAACUAAAGUUGUGUUGUGACUAUAAGUAUCCACCAUGAAAUUAGCUAAUACCACAGAAGAUCUACGAUUUCCAUUUCCUGCUCCUACCAAGCUGUCACUGGGAC